UACGUAGGGUGCGAGCGUUAAUCGGAAUUACUGGGCGUAAAGCGUGCGCAGGCGGCUUACUAAGACAGGUGUGAAAGCCCCGAGCUUAACUUGGGAAUGGCGCUUGUGACUGGUAGGCUGGAGUGUGGCAGAGGGAGGUGGAAUUCCACGUGUAGCAGUGAAAUGCGUAGAGAUGUGGAGGAACACCGAUGGCGAAGGCAGCCUCCUGGACCGGCAUUGACGCUGAGGCGCGAAAGCCAGGGGAGCAAACGGG
rnacentral:rRNA from 1 species